CUGACCCCGGGUCACUGUAGCUGAAAACACACUGCAACGCAUCAUAUGAUGCGCAUCAAAUAUUACGCAUCGAAUGCUGCUGCUGGCACCAAUAGGAAGUGUUGCACUGCAGUGUGUCAGCAGGAAGACAACAUGCACCAUCUGAAGAGUAUGGACGUAUAAAGAGAAUUGAGAGAGCUGAAGAGCCAGUCUCUAUGAGCUAUGGCUCGCCAGGUCGUUUAACUUGGGAUAUUUGUCCACCUGAACAACACAGAGAGGAAGUCGAGCUGCCACAGGAGCCGGGAUGUACAAGCAGGGAAGCCGGUCGAAUCACUCAGAACAACGGGGCGUCGGUUCGCCUCACAGCGGCUGAUAACGUGGAGACGCAGGUGUGAAUUCUGGUGGAGUGACUCAUCGCAGCACGUCGUCAAGGUUGUGGUAACCAUGGAAACGGAGCAGCUUCACCUGUUUCUGCGGUCUGCGGUCCCACUCAUGAACACCCCACCCCCCCCCACCCUCUCCCACACACACACACACAGUAACAUCAGCUGUGUCUUUCUGUGAUGUUUUUGCACAGCCACAAGACGGCAGGCUGCAGGGAAACUUCCUGUCAGAGAGGAAGUGGAUGGAGGUGAUGCUUUACUUCUAGGAAAAAAACAUGAAGAAGAAAUCUUUCGCUCUCAUCACAACAGCGGCAACAAGAAAACAUCUAGCUAAAGGUUGCAUUCACUGUUUACAUACCAGCUGUCUUCAUCGGUAUUUCAGUUGAAACAAACCAUGAUUGAUGCUCUUAUCUUGUUUAUAAUGUUAUCAUCAGUUCUUUGUGUUUUUCUUAUCACCUGUUGCUGACAGUUUCCUGUUCAUGAUAAGAGGAAAUGACACCUAUUAUAUUUUCAAAAGCAGCACUGUGGUUUGACUCCACUUAAAAACACACAGUAGAAAACGUUUUAAUAGUAUGUUUUAACAUGACAAUAAAAUCCCAAAUAGCUGCCUGUUAACCCGAACUUCCACAGCUGCAGAGCAUCAGCUAUACUGGGAUCCAGUUUACCACUUCUAAGAGUUUCAGAGCAAGGUCAUAGAGGAAACGUUUGACGGUGUAUAAAGAGCUGAAGUCAUGACGUCACAUCCGAGCUAGCCUCCGUUCCUCUAGCUUCUAUAACGAUCUGUCAGUCAGCGUUUCUUUCAUCUGUCUUUCUGAAAAUAGCAAAGCUUGAAACACUUG